rnacentral:rRNA from 1 species
GACGAACGCUGGCGGCGUGCUUAACACAUGCAAGUCGAACGGAAAGGCCUGCUUUCCCUUGUGGAUUGCGGGUACUCGAGUGGCGAACGGGUGAGUAACACGUGAGUGAUCUGCCCCCAACUUGGGUAUAAGCCUGGGAAACUGGGUCUAAUUCCCGAUAGGACUGCAGGGUGGUGCCUGUGGUGGAAAACGAUUUUCUAGUGGUUGGGGAUGAGCUCGCGGCCUAUCAGCCUGUUGGUGGGGUAAUGGCCUACCAAGGCGGCGACGGGUAGCCGGCCUGAGAGGGUGGACGGCCACAUUGGGACUGAGAUACGGCCCAGACUCCUACGGGAGGCAGCAGUGGGGAAUAUUGCACAAUGGGCGGAAGCCUGAUGCAGCGACGCCGCGUGGGGGAUGACGGCCUUCGGGUUGUAAACUCCUUUCGACCGCGAGGAAGCCACCUGGUUGGAAGGGUGGUGACGGUAGUGGUAGAACAAGCACCGGCUAACUACGU